rnacentral:rRNA from 1 species
GAAACCGUUCAGGGGUAAACCUGAGAAACCCAAAAGAUCGAAUGGGGAGAUUCAUCGUCGACGAGGCUGGCUUCCGUAGGCGCGCAGAUACCCCGUAUGGGACCUUCGCGGUUCCAAUGCGAGGGUACACCGCCUUCGGCCUAAAUGUUCCGGCAACGUAGUCGUGCACUUCUCCCUUAGUAGAACGUCGCGACCCGUUGCGUGUCGGUCUACGGCCCGAGUGGUUGCCUGCCGCGUCGCCUUUGUGCGCACGCGACAGACCCUCGGUCGCCCGGCCGGCUGCGCGACGGUACUCUGACGGUAUCGGGCCGCAACCAAUCCAUUUUCGAAUGUGUGUGCGUCAGGCCCGCCGCAAGCUCGAUCAGUAUACCCUCGGAGGUACGGACCUGGUGCCGGCUCCGAGCCUGGUCAGCUGUUGGCAGGCGGUGUCCUCGGACUGGCCAAGCUUCGAAUUACCGGUCGGCGACGCUACUGCUUUGGGUACUCUCAGGACCCGUCUUGAAACACGGACCAAGGAGUCUAACAUGUGCGCGAGUCAUUGGGAUAUAUAAACCUAAAGGCGCAAUGAAAGUGAAGGUCAGGCCUAAGCGUCGACCGAGGGAGGAUGGGCCGCGUUGCGAUGCGGCCUCGCACUCCCGGGGCGUCUCGUUCUCAUCGCGAGAAGAGGCGCACCCAGAGCGUACACGUUGGGACCCGAAAGAUGGUGAACUAUGCCUGGUCAGGACGAAGUCAGGGGAAACCCUGAUGGAGGUCCGUAGCGAUUCUGACGUGCAAAUCGAUCGUCGGAACUGGGUAUAGGGGCGAAAGACUAAUCGAACCAUCUAGUAGCUGGUUCCCUCCGAAGUUUCCCUCAGGAUAGCUGGCACUCGCUCGUUCCUCCGUGAACUUGCGCGAGUUUCAUCUGGUAAAGCGAAUGAUUAGAGGCCUUGGGGCCGAAACGACCUCAACCUAUUCUCAAACUUUAAAUGGGUGAGAUCUCUGGCUUGCUUGGAUCAAUGAAGCCACGAGAUAUAUUUUUGAAUCAGAGUGCCAAGUGGGCCAAUUUUGGUAAGCAGAACUGGCGCUGUGGGAUGAACCAAACGCAGAGUUAAGGCGCCUAAGUCGACGCUUAUGGGAUACCAUGAAAGGCGUUGGUUGCUUAAGACAGCAGGACGGUGGCCAUGGAAGUCGGAA